UAGUCUUGGGGAAAGCUUGGAUAUAUGCACUGGCUGGUGUGAGAGCAGCUGUCUGCCUGGUCCCUCUUCUCUGGAAGACAGAUGUGGAAAAACUGAAACUUCCAAACAAGAAACUCAAAAAAAGGGGCAGGAGACGCUCAGCUCUUUAGACCACUGCCCAGGAAACCCAAAGGACCGGGUUCCUCCUCGAAAGUCCAUCUGCUAGACGUGGUCACCCAUCUGGUGAUUACGUGUCCUGGGUGCCACGCAUCUCAGGAAAAAAAGAACACCUGAAUUUUUCCACUACAUCAGCUCGCUGGCCAGGUGUAUCCCCUUCAACCGCUUGGAGCAAGGGAUGGAGAGACUUAGGAUCGUCUCUUCAGGGGCCGUGGUGAAGAGGAGGCCCCUGCCAAUGGCA